GCACUGCUGAGGAGUCCCAUAAUAGGACGAAACGGCCGUCCAGUG
rnacentral:hammerhead_ribozyme from 1 species